UUAAGUUGCUAAGAGCAAACGGUGGAUGCCUGGGCAUCUGGAGCCGAAGAAGGACGUAGUAAUCUGCGAUAAGCCUCGGGGAGUUGAUAAACGAGCCGUGAUCCGAGGAUGUCCGAAUGGGGAAACCCCGCCAGGGCGCGUGCGUACCUGGUGACUCCCGCCUGAAUAUAUAGGGCGGGUUGAGGGAACGUGGGGAAGUGAAACAUCUCAGUACCCACAGGAAGAGAAAACAACAUGUGAUUCCGGGAGUAGUGGCGAGCGAAACCGGAAGAGGCUAAACCGUGUAUGUGUGAUACCCGGCAGGGGUUGCAUACGCGGGGUCGUGGGACUUUUCUAGUUCAUCUGCCGGUGGACUGACGUGAAUGUUGUUGCUAUAGGAGAACCGCUUGGAACGGCGGGCCGGAGUGGGUGAGAGCCCCGUAUCCGAAAUGGUGACACUGCGUGAGAAGUAUCCCAAGUAGCACGGGGCCCGAGAAAUCCCGUGUGAAUCUGUCAGGACCACCUGAUAAGCCUAAAUACUCCCAGAUGACCGAUAGCGGACUAGUACCGUGAGGGAAAGGUGAAAAGUACCCCGGGAGGGGAGUGAAAGAGUACCUGAAACCGUUUGCUUACAAUCCGUCAGAGCCAGCUUGUUCUGGUGAUGGCGUGCCUUUUGAAGAAUGAGCCUGCGAGUUAGCGGCAUGUGGCGAGGUUAACCCGUGUGGGGAAGCCGUAGCGAAAGCGAGUCUGAAUAGGGCGAUUGAGUCGCGUGUCCUAGACCCGAAGCGAAGUGAUCUAUCCAUGGCCAGGCUGAAGCGCGUGUAAGAGCGCGUGGAGGGCCGAACCCACUUAGGUUGAAAACUGAGGGGAUGAGCUGUGGAUAGGGGUGAAAGGCCAAUCAAACUUCGUGAUAGCUGGUUCUCUCCGAAAUGCAUUUAGGUGCAGCGUCGCGUGUUUCUUGCCGGAGGUAGAGCUACUGGAUGGCCGAUGGGCCCUACAAGGUUACUGACGUCAGCUAAACUCCGAAUGCCGGUAAGUGAGAGCGUGGCAGUGAGACUGUGGGGGAUAAGCUUCAUAGUCGAGAGGGAAACAACCCAGAUCGCCAACUAAGGUCCCUAAGCGUGUGCUAAGUGGUAAAGGAUGUGGAGUUGCUGUGACAACCAGGAGGUUGGCUUAGAAGCAGCCACCCUUGAAAGAGUGCGUAAUAGCUCACUGGUCAAGUGAUUCCGCGCCGACAAUGUAACGGGGCUCAAGCACACCACCGAAGUUGCGGCAAUCAGCGUAUAGGCAAGCCUUCGUGGUUCAGCCCGCUGGUUGGGUAGGAGAGCGUCGUGUGGCGAGUGAAGCGGCGGAGUGAUCCAGUCGUGGACGCUACACGAGUGAGAAUGCAGGCAUGAGUAGCGAAAGACGGGUGAGAAACCCGUCCUCCGGAAGACCAAGGGUUCCAGGGUCAAGCUAAUCUGCCCUGGGUAAGUCGGGACCUAAGGCGAGGCCGACAGGCGUAGUCGAUGGACAACGGGUUGAUAUUCCCGUACCGGCGAAGAACCGUCAAACGCGAAGCCGCAAGUGCUAAGCAAGCGAAGCCCCUUUUCUGCCUUCGGGUGGGUUGGGGGUGGAGAGUGCGACCCCGGCGUGGUGGAGUGAGCGUAUUAACAGGUGUGACGCAGGAAGGUAGCCUGUGCCGGGCGAUGGUUGUCCCGGUGUAAACGUGUAGCCCGAACCUUAGUAAUAUUUUGGUUCUUUGGGUGAGACGUGAUGCGGACCCGUAUGGGGAAGCAGGUGAUCCUAUGCUGCCGAGAAAAGCAUCGACGCGAGGUUUUAGCCGCCCGUACCCCAAACCGACUCAGGUGGUCAGGUAGAGAAUACUCAGGAGAUCGAGAGAAUCAUGGUGAAGGAACUCGGCAAAAUGCCCCCGUAACUUCGGGAGAAGGGGGGCCAUCCGCUUAUACCGUCUUGCACGGGAAAGGGUGUGGUGGCCGCAGAGACCAGUGGGAAGCGACUGUUUACUAAAAACACAGGUCCGUGCGAACAUGCAAAUGGAUGUAUACGGACUGACGCCUGCCCGGUGCUGGAAGGUUAAGAGGAGAGGUCAACGACUUCGGUUGUGAAGCUUUGAAUUUAAGCCCCAGUAAACGGCGGUGGUAACUAUAACCAUCCUAAGGUAGCGAAAUUCCUUGUCGGGUAAGUUCCGACCUGCACGAAUGGCGUAACGACUUCCCAGCUGUCUCCACCAUGAACUCGGCGAAAUUGCACUACGAGUAAAGAUGCUCGUUACGCGCAGAAGGACGGAAAGACCCCGUGACCUUUACUACAGCUUGGUAUUGGUGUUCGGUGUGGCUUGUGUAGGAUAGGUGGGAGACUGUGAAGCUGGCACGCUAGUGUUGGUGGAGUCGUUGUUGAAAUACCACUCUGGUCAUACUGGAUGUCUAACCAUGGACCCUGAUCGGGUUCUGGGACAGUGCCUGGUGGGUAGUUUAACUGGGGCGGUUGCCUCCCAAAAUGUAACGGAGGCGCCCAAAGGUUCCCUCAACCUGGUUGGCAAUCAGGUGGCGAGUGUAAGUGCACAAGGGAGCUUGACUGUGAGACUGACAGGUCGAGCAGGGACGAAAGUCGGGACUAGUGAUCCGGCAGUGGCUUGUGGAAGCGCUGUCGCUCAACGGAUAAAAGGUACCUCGGGGAUAACAGGCUGAUCUUGCCCAAGAGUCCAUAUCGACGGCAUGGUUUGGCACCUCGAUGUCGGCUCGUCGCAUCCUGGGGCUGGAGUAGGUCCCAAGGGUUGGGCUGUUCGCCCAUUAAAGCGGUACGCGAGCUGGGUUUAGAACGUCGUGAGACAGUUCGGUCCCUAUCCUCUGCGCGCGUUGGAGAUUUGAGAGGAUCUGACCCUAGUACGAGAGGACCGGGUUGGACGGACCUCUGGUGUGCCAGUUGUUCUGCCAAGGGCAUGGCUGGUUGGCUACGUUCGGGAUGGAUAACCGCUGAAAGCAUCUAAGCGGGAAGCCGGCCUCGAGAUGAGAUCUCCGUGCACCUUCGGGUGCGUGAGGCUCCCAGGAGAUUACUGGGUUGAUAGGCCAGAUAUGGAAGCAUCGUAAGGUGUGGAGUUGACUGGUACUAAUAAGCCGAUGACUUAACU
rnacentral:rRNA from 1 species